GAAAUGCGAUACGUAAUGUGAAUUGCAGAAUUCAGUGAAUCAUCGAAUCUUUGAACGCAUAUUGCGCUCUCUGGUAUUCCGGAGAGCAUGCUUGUUUGAGUAUCAGUAAACACCCCUCGAAAAAAUGCCUUGAUGAAAAUCAAUUUUUAUUUUUUCGGAUUUGAGUGAUCCCAACGUGUGUCCUUUUGAAAGGGGGGACAUGGCGGGCCACUUGAAAUGCAGGUGCAGCUGGACUUUCUUCUGAGCUAUAAGCAUAUUUAUUUAGUCCUGUCAACCUUGUGUUGCCGGAUUAUUACUUCUGCUGCAGCUAAUAUAAAGGUCGAAAGUUCAAAUGCUGACUGAUGCAGGAAUUUUUCAGAAGGGCGCGGCGUAAGCUGGGUCCUCUCUGUUAAACUCGAUC
rnacentral:misc_RNA from 1 species